rnacentral:rRNA from 1 species
UCGAACGAUGAUCCCAGCUUGCUGGGGGAUUAGUGGCGAACGGGUGAGUAACACGUGAGUAACCUGCCCUUGACUCUGGGAUAAGCCUGGGAAACUGGGUCUAAUACCGGAUAUGACUCCUCAUCGCAUGGUGGGGGGUGGAAAGCUUUUGUGGUUUUGGAUGGACUCGCGGCCUAUCAGCUUGUUGGUGGGGUAAUGGCCUACCAAGGCGACGACGGGUAGCCGGCCUGAGAGGGUGACCGGCCACACUGGGACUGAGACACGGCCCAGACUCCUACGGGAGGCAGCAGUGGGGAAUAUUGCACAAUGGGCGAAAGCCUGAUGCAGCGACGCCGCGUGAGGGAUGACGGCCUUCGGGUUGUAAACCUCUUUCAGUAGGGAAGAAGCCGCAAGGUGACGGUACCUGCAGAAGAAGCGCCGGCUAACUACGUGCCAGCAGCCGCGGUAAUACGUAGGGCGCAAGCGUUAUCCGGAAUUAUUGGGCGUAAAGAGCUCGUAGGCGGUUUGUCGCGUCUGCUGUGAAAGACCGGGGCUCAACUCCGGUUCUGCAGUGGGUACGGGCAGACUAGAGUGCAGUAGGGGAGACUGGAAUUCCUGGUGUAGCGGUGAAAUGCGCAGAUAUCAGGAGGAACACCGAUGGCGAAGGCAGGUCUCUGGGCUGUAACUGACGCUGAGGAGCGAAAGCAUGGGGAGCGAACAGGAUUAGAUACCCUGGUAGUCCAUGCCGUAAACGUUGGGCACUAGGUGUGGGGGACAUUCCACGUUUUCCGCGCCGUAGCUAACGCAUUAAGUGCCCCGCCUGGGGAGUACGGCCGCAAGGCUAAAACUCAAAGGAAUUGACGGGGGCCCG